rnacentral:rRNA from 1 species
UACGUAGGGGGCAAGCGUUGUCCGGAAUCAUUGGGCGUAAAGAGCGUGUAGGCGGCCCGGUAAGUCCGCUGUGAAAGUCCAGGGCUCAACCCUGGGAUGCCGGUGGAUACUGUCGGGCUCGAGUCCGGAAGAGGCGAGUGGAAUUCCUGGUGUAGCGGUGGAAUGCGCAGAUAUCAGGAGGAACACCGAUGGCGAAGGCAGCUCGCUGGGACGGUACUGACGCUGAGGCGCGAAAGCGUGGGGAGCGAACAGG